CAACAGGGGGCGCCGCGUUGGAACGCCCAAAGGGGUUGGGGGUUCGGGUGCGGUGGGCGAGCAAGCGAGUGUAUGGCGGCCAGGCCCAGAAGGCCACGAGGACCGCUGGCGCCGAGGCGUCAGUCUUUCAGACUCCAAAAGUAGCAAAGGCCGAGCGAGGAGGUUAGGGGCUCCCAAAGGCCAGCCCUUGGGGCUGUUGAUGGCCAGGCUAACCCGACAGGAGGCGCCGCUGCCACCGAGUGACUGGCUACCAGAUUCUGAAACCCUAAGUGCCUUGGAUGAGUGGGGCUUAAGAGACCACAGAACUGGGUCAAGGAUUAAGCUCAGUGGCACCACACCUGCCUUGCAAGCUCAAGGUCCUGGGUUUGAUCCCUGGUACCAAAAAAAAAAAAAAAAAUUAGAGGCCACAGAACUACAGCCAGACAUUUGAGGAAGCAGCAAAUACAAAAGACAGCUGAGUGGCCUGGCCAAAGACAGCUGAGAGAUUUGGUGUGGUGAGAGCCGAGGAUGAGCACCACGUGGAUGGACUGGAGGAUCAUCUUGGUCAGCCAGAUCAUCAGGAGGACUGGAGAAGGCACGCCAAGGUGCGCUACCGGAUUGUGGCUACCUGCUGCACACUGGUCAGCAAGGCAGUUUCCCCGCCGCCCGCCCGCCGGAUGAAGAUGGCAGGAGCGAGCCACCUCUCGGCUCCCCUUCCCAGCAUCCAAGCCCCGGCGGGCCAGAUGCGACACCUUUUCCCCGGCCAGGGCCACGCUCCUUCAGACUCGAGCGCUGCGCGCCAGCAGCCCAGGAACUUCCAGCCGAGCCGCAGGCAGCCCCGCCGCCUUAGCAGCUGCGCGAAAAGGAUGGCGAUGCCCCGACGUGAUCGAGUCCGCGCUGCCAACCCGAGUAGCCCCAAGGGUACCUCCAAAAGUUUCUGUACCUCUACCCGCAGCCCUCUUAAGGACCGGCGAUUGGACCAGGAGAGGUUGGCGCUGUGGGGCACUGACAGGUGCGCGCGCUCUUUUCCGUGCUGGGGACCCACGAGUGCCUGAAAGGUGGUCAGUCGUGGCUAAGAUUGGUGCACAGCGGCGGAGGGCACUGGCUCUAAAUUAGCAGCGCGAGAGGAGCUGGGUUCCCGGCUCCGAGCCCGCCCGGCCCGGCCCGGCGCGCGCCUGCUACUUCCCUCCGGAACCGGCAGUCUCUGGAGUUCUCGCCCAAUCCCUUUCUGGUUACUUUUCGCACAUUACAACAGUGUCUACUGCUCGGCGGCUCUGGAACAGAGAAAGCUGGCGCGCGCACCUCCAAGCCACAUUUCGGGCACUCGCCCAAACCAACUUAUUUGAGACGAAGGUUUGGAGGAGGAGGGAAAAACAUGCAUAAAACAAGUGACUUACCAUUGCCGCUUUGGUGUGCAGCUCACAACCCUAGUGUGCACAGGAUUCAGUUCCUUGACCAGGGCACCGGCUCGGGGACCUCAGGUUGUCCGUGGUGAGGCGCAAGGAGCGCCCCACUGUCCAACAAACCUUUGGCCAUCCGGGGCACCCUGGGAAGACUUGGGAAGCCUGGCCUGGCCUGCCCACCCUGACCGUUCUGGGCCCACUAGCUGAGCCCCCCCCCCCCUUCACCUUGCCUCUUACCUAUCUCCCCCCCACACCACCACAGCGCUCACACUCCUUAGGGCCCUCCUCAGUUGACCAGUGGGCAGCUGCUCAACUAACCUGCGUCCAUGAAAAGAAGGAGAAUCCGUACGGCGUCCUCCGUUAGUAACGCCGGAUGGGGAUGGGUCCUCUUUUCGAAGCAGACUCCGGGGACCUGUCGCGGCGGGUGGGCUUUUUUGGCUUGCACGGCGCUGCUUCUUGGGCUCCUCAGACUCUUCAGGUUCCGUCGGAUCCUUCUCCUUGGGCUCGGGCUUCUCCUCCUGGCUGGAGCUGUAGGGCUCCUGAGUGGUGGGCUGAGGGCGACUCGGGGAGGCUUCGGGGCUCUGUAACCAGAGCGUGCAGGCGCUGGGUGAGCGAUUGGUUGAAGGUAGAGCCCUUGGGCACCACGGGGCCGCGCUCGUCCUUGGGCUCGGAGUCGGGCUCAGUGGCAGGGGCGGUCUCGGCCUCGGCCUCCGUCUCCAUCUGGGUCUCGUAAUCGAACUCUUCGCACUCUAGGCACUCGGGAAGGGAGAGCUCAAGGUCCCCAUCCUCAUGGUCGUGGUCAGAGUCAGAUUCAGGGGACUCGGGGAAUACCUGGGCGCUGGAGCGGUGGUGGGCGUUCAGGAAGCUCCGGCGCUGCCCCGCCGUGCGCUGUUGGGCACGGGCGUUGGAGGUGGCAAGGGCGCGGAGGAGCGCGAUGGAGCAGGAGAGUCAGAGGAGCGCGGCGGCCGAUAGGUGGGCACAGAUCGCUGUAAUUAUGGCCGGCUCGGCGCCACUGCUGAGCCCGGGACCUCCGAUCCAUCCUCAGGCUCGCACCGAGAAGCCGACCCGCCCUCUGGCCCUGCAGAGAGCGGCUCCAAGGCGCAUCGGCUGCUGGAGCCGGAAAAGGCGCACCUUCGGAGGUGAGAAGUGGGUCCAGAGGUCCCGCGUCGCACCUCCGUAUGAGGAGAGAAAAAAGCACCUACCUUCCUGACCACUUACGAACUUUCUAAAGCGCCGCGCCUCUGCUUGCCUCGCCAACCCCAAACACGGGAUGGGAAAGGGGGAGAAAAGAUCUGUCUCCUCCCGGGCUCCUCUCGCUGUCUUAGACUCCGCAGUCCGAGACUCGGGAGAGGCGCCUCCGCUGGUUCUCUCGCCUGGGAGAGGAAGAGGAGACUGAGGCGGAAGAUGGGGCGGUGAGGUCCUGCGAAGUUGCGCGCCUGCGCCCGCACUUCUGCCGGGCGUGUGCAGUAGGGAGGUGGGGGCCGCCUCCCCGCGAGCUGCGCUGUGGCGCGGAGCCACCUGUGGGCCGGCAGGUGGCAGGAGGGAACCUUGUUUGGAAGGAUUUGGGCGAAGUCGUGGGAGGGGAGCUGGCGCUGGCGAAUGCCAAGGAGCGCCCAAUAGCCACAGGUAGGUUAGCUUGGGCAGCUGGAGCCGAUUUCUCCACGGAGGCUGCUCCCUCCCCACCCCAUCUUCUCCUGGACGAGAUGAACAUAGUCCAUGAGCAGCUGAAAAGGAGAUUGCAACAUUGCAAAUAUUCAGGGGAAUAAGGGUCUCUACAUGAGUAUUAGUGACCCAGCCCGGGGGAUUUUCUAAGGCCUUAACAGUGUGAGGAUGGUAACCUCGGGCAGUCAUUAGUCCCGAAACCACCUUUGGCGGACUUGUUAUAGUGACGGUGGAGUCUUGAUCGGCCGGUUGCCUCAUGGACAGACAGGCGAGCCUCUUCUUUUAAGAAGGGCCCCACUGUUCCGGAGGGGAGGCUUUCAAGUCUGCAAACCCGUGCUUGGCCCCAGCUGAGAAGGAGCGGAAGACAGAGGAGAGCCAGGAGAUCCGGGGCCGGGGAAGGCGGCCGUACUACUCCUGGUCGUCCUCACCUCGGGGAGGAGGGUGGUCGGCUAGCGCAGAGCCUUCGCCAGAUGCUCCUACAGCUGUUUCUUAGGUAAGUUUUCAUAAAGGCAAUUUGAUAGAUAUUCACUGAGUGCCUAGCACAUAUCAAGCUCUAUUCUAGGUGCUGAAAGCAGACUAUUGGGCAAAAAAGUCUUGCGUUAAGGAAGGGAUAUUGAGAAUUGAAUCUCUUAGUGGGAACAUUGAAUCCUUUUACCUUUGUUUUUUUUUUUUUUUUUCGGUGGGGGCAGGACUGGGGAUUGACCCCAGGGCUUUGUGCAUGCUGUAAAUGCUCUACUACUGAGCUGCAUUCCCAGCCCCUCCCAUUGUUUAAUCCAGCUUGAAUUCUAUAAGAGAAAACAUAUCAGCCUGAGCAUUAGAGCUAGGGGGGCGGCCAGAUACCACUGGACUGCAGUGUUGAACUCUGAAGGCUGAAGAAUCAGAAUAAACUAGUGCCAUUCUUUCGCAGCUCUGGAAAAUCAAAUGAGCUCCAUGGGGGCUGGGCGGGGGGCUGCAGUGGGGAAGCUCAUGAGUUUCAUCUGUAAUGGGACUGCCUUUUUCUAGGGUGUGCAUAUCUUUGGUCUGGUCCUCCCUGUUAAACACAAGUGCCCCUUUUGUUAUAGAGAGGUAAAAGGUGGUAAAGCUCAGAGCAAAACCAGCUUCCUGGAAUCCAUGAAGUGUCAACAAGGUUGUUUCACCUGGGACAGCACCACUGGGGCUCUCUCCUCCUUGUGAGUGAGUGUGGGAAAACCCAGAGGGAGAGGAGGAGCUGCUUCUCCUGAUUCUCCGCUUCCCUGCUAUGCUAGUCCACUAGCACUCCCUCCUGGCUCUCCUUUCUGGUGGCUGAAGAGUCAUGCCCCCAAAGCCACUCCUCAUUACCUUCACACUCUUGACACCAGGCCUGCAUGAUCACUGCAGGGUGCAGAGUUAAAAUCUUAGUGAGAUUCCAACUACUACUUCUGAUGAGUGGUGGUUUUGUUUCUGCAUCUUGGCUGUGUCUGUGUUGUACCUCAUGUUCUAGGAGUUGAGUUUUCAGCAUGACAAUACGGGUUACUCUAAUAAAGAAGAAUUGAUUUGGCUAACCCCACAAAA
rnacentral:lncRNA from 1 species